CCUACGGGUGGCAGCAGUGGGGGAUAUUGGGCAAUGGGCGAAAGCCUGACCCAGCAACGCCGCGUGAAGGAAGAAGGCUUUCGGGUUGUAAACUUCUUUUGUCAGGGAAGAGUAGAUGACGGUACCUGACGAAUAAGCAACGGCUAAAUACGUGCCAGCAGCCGCGGUAAUACGUAGGGUGCAAGCGUUGUCCGGAUUUACUGGGUGUAAAGGGAGUGUAGGCGGGUUGACAAGUCAGUUGUGAAAGCCUGCGGCUUAACCGUAGAACUGCAUUUGAAACUGUUGAUCUUGAGUACUGGAGAGGCAGGCGGAAUUCGUAGUGUAGCGGUGAAAUGCGUAGAUAUUAGGAGGAACACCAGUGGCGAAGGCAGUCUGCUGGACAGCAACUGACGGUGAGGCGCGAAAGUGUGGGGAGCAAACAGGAUUAGAUACCCCUGUAGUC
rnacentral:rRNA from 1 species